UACAGAGGUCUCAAGCGUUGUUCGGAUUCAUUGGGCGUAAAGAGCUCGUAGGCGGUCUGUCGCGUCGGCUGUGAAAUCCCGAGGCUCAACCUCGGGCCUGCAGUCGAUACGGGCAAACUAGAGUAUUGCAGGGGAGACUGGAAUUCCGUGGUGAUAGCGGUGAAAUGCGCAGAUAUCAGGAAGAACACCCGUGGCGAAGGCGGCUCUCUGGGACGGUACUGACGCUGAGACGCGAAAGCGUGGGGAGCGAACAGG
rnacentral:rRNA from 1 species